rnacentral:rRNA from 1 species
UACGUAGGGUGCAAGCGUUAAUCGGAAUUACUGGGCGUAAAGCGCACGCAGGCGGCGCAUCAAGUUCGACGUGAAAGCUCCCGGCUUAACUGGGAGAGGUUGUUGAAGACUGAUGGGCUUGAGGCAAUGAGAGGGGUGUAGAAUUCCCGGUGUAGUGGUAGAAUGCGUAGAUAUCGGGAGGAAUACCAGUGGCGAAAGCGGCACCCUAGCAUUAGCCUGACGCUCAUGUGCGAAAGCGUGGGGAGCGAACGGG